GCUCCCAUAGCUUAAUAACAAAGCAUGGCACUGAAGCUGCCAAGAUGGUCGUUUGCACCACACCUGGGGGCA
rnacentral:tRNA from 1 species